GACGAACCGUGCAAACGUUGUUCGGAAUCACUGGGCUUAAAGGGCGCGUAGGCGGCUCGCCAAGUCGGGGGUGAAAUCUUUCGGCUCAACCGGAAAAGUGCCUUCGAUACUGGCGGGCUGGAGGGAGGUAGGGGCAUGUGGAACUUCCGGUGGAGCGGUGAAAUGCGUUGAUAUCGAGAGGAACACCAGUGGCGAAGGCGAGUCCCUGGACAAGUCCUGACGCUGAGGCACGAAAGCUAGGGGAGCAAACAGG
rnacentral:rRNA from 1 species